AGGACACAGAAUUAUAUCAAUUAAAUUAGUUUGAGAUGAAACAAAUAUGAAUAUAAUAAUGUUUAUAAUAAUGAAGCAAUUAGAGCUAAUGAAAUAAACGUUAAUAAUGACCAGGUUCCCUAACCCAUUUCUGCCCUUCUCCUUCUAAUUCCUCCAAACUUUGAGUUGUAUUGUAUUCACUGGAAUCCUUUCAGCCAUUGAUGCUUGUUUUUUUGUAUGUUGGAAGCUAUAGGGAUGAAGAAUACAAACCUUCACCGUUUACAUGUUUCUUGCUGUCAUACCUGUAGAAGACUCCUCAUGGUCUGGCAUAUCAUCUCUUGGCAAGAGCCUGGCCAUAGUAGUGGGAAAGAAGAUGGAUAAAGUUCUUGUUAAUCUAUUGAUGAAAGAAUGAUGCUAAGUUUUUCAAGGCUUCCAGAGUCACGGGAGGAGUCACUUGGUAAAUCCAGGAGCAGAAGCGAGGUACCAGCUGGAAGACUGCAAUGUGUUUGUUCAGACCUGUGGGCCCCCUGGAUCCUUAGCAAAAGACCACAAAGACAAGUGUUGAAUGCAGCUUUUACAAGUUAAGUGACCAGCCUAAGGCACUGUCACAUCUUUGACCAAAAGGGAUGAAAAUAUCAAAUGUUACACCUGGAAGUAACCUUCGGGUAUCCAGGGGAAUAACUUCACUGUGUAAAUAAAGAGCCACAGCGGUCCA
rnacentral:lncRNA from 13 species